rnacentral:antisense_RNA from 1 species
CAUGGAAAUUGGGAACAAGGACUUACUCGCUUAGAGGGUGAAAAAAGUGAAUUUGCCUACAGGGCAAAUCUGGAAGCAGCUCUCCCUGGGAGCGAGUCAAUGAAGAGCCAUUGGAGGAUUUUAAAUAAGGAACCGAAAAAUAGAGUCUGAAAAUAGAGGCGCAGAGACUGGUCAACCACAAUGAAGAACAAGCCAUUUUGACCUCCAUCCUGGCUCAUCUCCUCUGUGUUCUCAUAGCAUCAUGUUAUAGAACGGAUCACAAAUGCCUUUGCAGUUGCCUAUUUAUUUGUCCAUUUCUCCCUCCAGACUGCCUUUGUGAGAAAAACACCCAAAUGCCACAAGUGCAUCCCCAGGGAGCUGCAGGGUGGCAGGAGCUGAGGAUGCAAAAACAUAAUUGCCUUCUAUCUACUCUGAUUUGAGCUUCAUCAAAUCCUUUGGCUCCCAAGGCAUUCUGCAGCAGAUGUGUGCACAAUAUUCCAGUACUAGGACUUGUGUCUGUGGGUACUGCUCGGGGCCCAAGAGUCUGAGGGUCUGCAAAGCCUCCAAGCCCUUCCCCUUCUUCCCAGGCCUCAGGGCCUGUGCUGGCCACCCUCCUAUACAACCCUUACUUGGCAUUCUUGCUAAGUCCUGUGGGGGCUCCAACCUUGACUCUUUUCAUUCCACGCUGAUUUCUUCUGGGCUCUGCGCCUCAGGGGAGAACAUGCAAUGCUAGUAAUAAACAAAGAGUACUCAUGAUAAAAAAAAUGAA